rnacentral:rRNA from 1 species
AGCGAACGCUGGCGGCAGGCCUAACACAUGCAAGUCGAACGGAUCCUUCGGGAUUAGUGGCGGACGGGUGAGUAACACGUGGGAACGUGCCCUUUGGUUCGGAACAACUCAGGGAAACUUGAGCUAAUACCGGAUGUGCCCUUCGGGGGAAAGAUUUAUCGCCAUUGGAGCGGCCCGCGUCUGAUUAGCUAGUUGGUGAGGUAAAGGCUCACCAAGGCGACGAUCAGUAGCUGGUCUGAGAGGAUGAUCAGCCACAUUGGGACUGAGACACGGCCCAAACUCCUACGGGAGGCAGCAGUGGGGAAUCUUGCGCAAUGGGCGAAAGCCUGACGCAGCCAUGCCGCGUGAAUGAUGAAGGUCUUAGGAUUGUAAAAUUCUUUCACCGGGGACGAUAAUGACGGUACCCGGAGAAGAAGCCCCUGCUAACUUCGUGCCAGCAGCCGCAGUAACAC